UCAAUCCAUAUUAAAUGAUAAAGAAUUCAUACAAACAGUUGAAAAAGAAAUGAACUUCUUCAAAGAUAAUAGAAAGGAAGACUUUCUAUUGCAAAAUGUACGGGAUAUAGCCAAGGCAUAUUUUAUAAGCCAUAACUUAUAUAGGAAGGAAAAAUAAGGAAAAUAAGCAACAUCAAAAGACAUUAGAAAGGUAGUACAAAAGAUUAGAAAAUACAGCUACAGAAAGAACCACAAAAAAGAAUCUUAAAAACCAAAUGGAACUAGUAAAACAAACUGAGUUUAACUGAAAAAGUAGAAAUGGCACAAAAAAUUAAAACGGCAAAGCAAAACUUCUUUGAAAAUGCUAAUAAACCAGGAAGGUGGCUGGCAUACAAAUUAAAAAAGGAGAAAGAAAAGAGACAGAUAUAAUGUUUGGCAGAUGAGAAGGGCAUACUUCAGCACCAAAAUGACAAUAAAAAGAAAAUAAUUCGGAAUUACUAUGAAAACCUAUAUGAUCAAGAGAAAAUCUCACAAGAUAAAAUGAAGUAAUACUUGGAAGAAGCUAAGCUACCUAAAGUGCCUGAAACAGUGAGAACUAUGUUAAAUGAAAGGAUAGCAAUGUUUGAACUUAGAGGCAAUUAAGAAACAACAACAAAACACCAGGGCCAGAUGAGUUACUGGUGGAAAUUUAUAAAUACUUACAAGACGCUCUAUGACAGUCAAUGUUGGAAGUCUGCAAUGAAGUUUUGUUAGAAGCCAAGACUUGGAUGGAAGCAAACAUUACUCUUAUACCAAAAGAAGAUUCAGAUUUAAGGCAGGUCAAAAACUAUAGGCCAAUUUUGUUACUAAACAUGGACUAUAAAAUAUAUGCAUCAAUAAUAGUGGAAAGAUUGAACAGAUUUCUGAAUGAGUUUAUACACCCAGAUCAGAAUGGGUUUUUACCUAACAGACAAAUCAAAAAUAAUAUGAGGAUUAUUUUGAAUAUAUUGGAAUACUAUGAAGCACAUCCUGAAAAACAAAUGGCGUUUAUCUUCCUAUAUGCACAGAAAGCAUUUGAUAAUAUAAACUGGCAAUUUAUAUUACCACAAUUAAAAUAUACAGAAUUAGAUGAAAAAUUUACCAAUAUGAUCAAGACGAUUUACUUUAAACAGACUGCAAAAGUUAUUGUAAAUGGUGACAUGACAGAGAAUUUCAAUAUUAAAAAAGGCACAAGGCAAGGAUGUCCCUUGUCCCCAUUACUAUUUAUUUUGACACUGGAAGUGCUAAAUAGAAAUAUCAGACAGGAUAUAGAAAUAAAAGGGAUGGAAACAAAAAAGUAAAAAUACAAAUUACAGGCAUUUGCAGAUAACCUAGUAUUUAUUAUAGAAGAAUCACAAUCACCCACACUAAUAAAAAAAAUAGAAGCCUAUGGUGAAGUUGCAGGAUUGAAAAUAAAGAGAAAACCAAAAUACUAGUUAAAAUAUUGCAGACAAACAGAAAAAAGAUCUAAUGAAGAAAAUAGAUAUCCAGAUAGUGAAGAAAGUUAAAUAUUUGGGAACUCAACUAUCAGAUGUGUAACUAUAAAAGAAGAUAAUUAUUCCAAAUUAAUACAACAAAUUAAACUAGAUUUGGAAAAGUGGAAAAGCCUUCAACUAUCACUGAUAGGAAGAAUAGCUACCAUUAAAAUGAACAUUUUGCCAAGAUUACUAUGUAUAUUUGUUCCAAACAAUUCCAAUAAAGUUGGGGAGAAAAUAUUUUGGGAAACUAAAUAGAUUAACAUCAAAAUUUAUUUGGCAAGGGAAAAAAGCUAGAAUAAGUUUGAAAUUUUACAAGAGGAGUUAUAUUACCAAGCAUCUGCACUAUGUGGCUGAAAGAAUGGAUAAAUUUGAGACAUAGAUGACUAUUAAUUGUGGAGGGACAUGACGUGUAACUGGGAUGGCAUCUCUUCCUAUGGUAUGGGAAAAAUAAAAUACACAGUUACUUCCGAAAACACUAUAUUAGAAAUGCAUUACUGU